GUACUUUUUCAGCAACACACAAAUUACGCUAGAAUGAUACAGAGAUGAUUGGCAUGGCUCCUAUCCAAGGAUGACAUAUUCAUAAAAAUUUCCAUCUUUUA
rnacentral:snRNA from 1 species